rnacentral:rRNA from 1 species
AAUGUACGCUGGCGGCGUGCUUAACAUAUGCAAGUUGUACGAGAACUCUUUAGCUUGCUAAAGAUAGUAAAGUGGCGAACGGGUGAGUAACGCGUGGGUAAUCUACCUCCGAAUUGGGGAUAACAUUGCGAAAGCGAUGCUAAUACCGAAUAAUAUCUUUUUAGCUUCGGCUUUUAAGAUCAAGGGUGGCCUCUACAUGUAAGCUACUGUUUGGAGAUGAGCCCGCGUACCAUUAGCUUGUUGGUAGGGUAACGGCCUACCAAGGCUGCGAUGGUUAGCUGGUCUGAGAGGAUGAUCAGCCACACUGGAACUGACACACGGUCCAGACUCCUACGGGAGGCAGCAGUGAGGAAUUUUGCGCAAUGGGGGAAACCCUGACGCAGCAACGCCGCGUGAGUGAUGAAGGCUUUCGGGUCGUAAAGCUCUGUCAAGUGGGAAGAAACUGUUAGGCAUUAAUACUGUCUUUCAUUGACGGUACCACUGAAGAAGCACCGCUAACU